GAAAUUGUCCAACUUGCAAGCGUUGUUGCCUAGCUGGUGCUUCGCACCUUCAUUAAAUCAUGGACUAAAUCUGACUUGAUCUUUUUGAUUAUUUUCUUAAUGGUGACUGUAAUUGUACCUCCAAGGCUCGACACCUGUACCUGUCACCGGGAUUUUUUAGUUGUAACUGAAGAAAGGUUGGAAGCAGGACCACCUUAAUCCGGGGUGGGGAAAAGGCCUUGUUGUUACUGGGUAGUAGGCUCAACCCGAGUGGUUCCAUAAUCUUCCACACUGAGCUCACUGCUCAGUCACAAAUCCCUUCAACAUAUCUCAAUUGAAAUAAUUUGAUAUUUUGGAAGAACCUCAAGAGGAUUUAAAUCCAUACAGCUAUCAAAUAGAAAAGGACCAACAUUUCGGGCUAUGUUUCAGUUGGUUUCAUUGGGAGCUUGUAAUCAUUUGCUUCAAAAUAUUUGUUUGCAGGAAGUGGGAGCAUAGACAAUAUCUUAACGCCAGAAAAGCUCAGCAGACGCGGUAGUGUUGGCAGCAUCAGCUUCACCCCUGAAACACCCAACUCACAUGCCAUCAUUGAGAGUCCAAAUCAAAGCUUGGAAUCAACAAUUGCUUCACUGGAAGCAGAGAUUGCUGACUCACAGAUGAAGUUCGCUGCCCUCAUUUCAGAACUGAGCAGUUCCGAGCCUUCUGGAUAUGUUGCAGACAUGAAACAACUCAGUAAAAAGCUCGAAGGCAUGCAACUUUUGUUGACAAGAUUGAGAACUCUGGUAUAGAUUGGUCUGCAAAUUGAUGGUGUAUAGGAUCAGGAUGGAAUAGAUUUUGUGGCCUUGGCAAUUCUUUCUGUACAUAUUUAUGUAUGUUGUUGAGUUUAUACAAGGCUGUAAUAAACAACGGGUGACUUACCUUGGGAAAUUUUGUAUCUCCCAGACGUAUCAUCUUGUAUCAUUUUGAUAGGAUUUAAGAAAAAAAUGAAAGGGAAAAAUUAUUUUGUUAUUUUCAGUUAUGGUUUACAUGCUCAAACGAAAUCUGAUAAUAUUUGCAGAUGCUCUGUAAUAUCAGGUGCGUAUGUUAGUUAUGAAUAUUCGGAAUACUUGAAAGAGGAGGAACAAUUUCUUAAAAUUCUCAAAUUCUGCCCUGCCGUUCUCCUCUUCUUCCUUUUUCUCAUUCAAAAUAAAAAAAUAUGGAACUCAUGAGCAGAAGCUGGAGCCUCUACAAGUGUUGCUCAGAAAAUAGAAGAUUGUGUAUCAUAGAGCAUCUAAUUGGUAUAGUAUCCAUGAUCUCAAAGAUUUUGAAUUCCAAAUAAAGAACUUCCAAGGGAGCAGAUGGUUUUAUGAUUUAAUAACGAUCCAAUAUUCAAUGACGAAGUCAUGACAGCUUAAAUUUUUAGCUAUAAAUCUAAUAGUAGAGGUUGAUCAUGGAUCAUCCUAAAUUUGAUCUAUUUUCUAAAAAAAGAAAGAAAGAUCUAAAAGAAUACUUCAUGAAGAUUUGAAUGCUGAUCCAAUUGUGGAUCCUUAAAAUGCAGUCCUUUGAUUUAUGAUAGUUAUACAAAUUGCAUAAAUUGAAGAAUACAUCUGGAUCAUCAAAUAUUUAGAAGAUUCAACAGUAGAUCAUCAAAUACAGAGCCACUGCGAGCUGGUUCAAUGGUCCUAAAAAACCUGAUUGAUCGUCAACUUUGCUACCCAACCUUGUAUGGAGAAAUAUCAUGAGGACGGCCAUCUAAAACAGUGUAGGAAAAAUGCAAGCCAAUAUAAAGGUAAGGAAGAAAUGGCAGCAAGAAAAAUCUGCUACUGAUCUUAUAGUCCUAAAAAGGGCUAAUCUGAAAUCAGAAAUCAAUUGACCACUAUAUCAUCAACCUGGACAAACCCAAAUAAAACCGUCCAACAUGUUAUUAGAUUGGGCAGAUGACUGAAAAUUAGUCCGUCCGAAAAAUCUUUUUUUAAAAAAUAUCCCUGCGGGCAUUGGCAGGAGAAGAAAACAAAAGUCAUAUCAUAUUAUGGGUGAAUGUAGCAAAAAUAUCUUGACUAUCCAAGCCAUAAGGUCCUUUAAUAUUAAGCAACAUAGCAUAAGUCUGUCACAGCAUCCUAAUUAUAAUGGGCAUUUUUGGGCCAUCAUGAAUUUAAGGUUUUGCUUGAAAUUACCAAGAUAAGGCCCCGUUUCAAAUCGCCAAAUGGGCCAAAGUAACAACUUGAAACAAAAAAGCAUCUGAAUGUCAUACUUCGAAUAUCCUUUGUAUUUUUAAGCAAUUCCUGUUCAGAUUCUCUUCAACCAUAGAUAAUAAGGUCAAAGUACAUUAAAUAGUUAAGAGUAGGUAUUGCAGUGCCAAUACAUUGAAGAAAGCAUGAAGUACUCGAAAAUUUAAUUUCAUUUCCAUUAUAACACGAACACUGGAAUUCUAAUAGACAUAAAAACACAGUACGUUCAAUGCAAAAUCUUUUUUAACAAUAAGAUUGUAAUUUGUGCAAGAGGCAGUCUAUUAGUCCAACCAUGCACUAAUUAAUUAGUAAGUGUUCUUGUUGGACUUCAGCUGGGUCAUUCAAUUUCUUACAUGAAGAAGAGUUAGCACUUUCAAUAUUAGUCUCUUGCAAUGGUUUACCCAUAGUCAAUCCACAAGAACUGAGAUCUCAGUGGGGAUCCAUGCUCCGAUAUGAUCCAUCCAAAUACUUAUGGAUCUACUUGCAGGAGUAGCUCAAUAUAUUUGGGGGUCUAAGGCCGUUUUGUUUUUGAAGUCUUCCCUGCAGUGGGCCGGCCUAAGAGGCCUUUUUUGUUUUUAUUUUGUUUUUGAGGCCUUUCCUGCGGUGGGCCUUUCUUGGGCUGGGGCCUUAGAGAACCGCCUAAGUUGCUUAAAGGGUUGGACCGGCCCUAUCUGGUUGAAUAGAUCUAUUUUGACUAUAUGCUUCUAUGUGCACCAACUGCUCAACCAAUAUCUUGAGUUUUUCAAUUCAAGCUUAACUGAAGGAGGCACUUUAAUUGUAACAAAAAUUUCUUGAAUCAAUCUAAAAAUAAAGCGGUCAGAAGUAAUGCAAAACAUGUCCGCAAUAUGAUAAAGACACGAGCAACGAUAUUGAAAAUAAUAAUGAUUAUCAUAACAAUAACAGUAACAAUUGUUUCCUCUUACACCCCUCGUACAUGAAUAGCUAGGAUUUAUCUAGCUGUCUCUCAAAGAUAAUAAAAUAGCACCAUAAUAACAACAACAGCGAUAUCAAGAACCUAUCCAAAAAACCAUCUAGGAUUGUAAGAACUAAUUAAAAAUCACAGGUUUCUUGUGCAAGAGCAACAAUGCAUGGAGGGCUUCGUUUUCGGCAGGCGCUAACAUUCCUGUUUCCUCGCUAGAACUCUCUUUGUAAGAGUCGUCCUCGUAAUUUAGCAUCACCAAGAGAAGCUCCCCUUCCAUGAUCCCUCCAUCACCCUCCUCCCUAAUCUGGCAGCCUGCUCGCCGCUGCACCCUGAUCGCCCACGUCUCGAGGAUGUCGCCGGCCGUCAAGUGAUUGUCCUUCAGGAACUUGUGGUAGUCGGGGCCCCUGAAGCGGAAGCAUUUCUUGCCGCUGUGUAGUUUCUUCAACUUCAUAUGGUACACCCGUCCCAGCCGGUCAAGAACGCUCACCCUCAACCCAUCUCCCACACCUUGCCGCGUCGCGAGCUGCUUCUCCCCCUCCGUCAUCAUCUCGAGGAGCACCUGUUUCACCUCCUUCUCCGAGUGCUGCAGACGGUUCUGGUCCGGGUUGACGUCGGUUUGGGAAAGCUUCUUUCCUAGCACGCGCACCGGGCGGUUGAUGAUGCCCAGUCCCAACAAUGUUUGCAUCAGCCAUUCGCAUGGCUGCACUUCGGUGCAUAGCUUCUCGCAGGGGGCGCGACUGCGGUGGCCACGGUUGUCGCCGCUCGUUCCCGUUGUCGUAUUUCUCGUCUCCUCCCCCACCUGGUUGGGCUUGUUGCUUCUUGGUUCUUGAAAUGAUCUCCUCUUCUCGGCGGGUUGGGCGGGAUCUUCGAGGCCGUUCUUGGCUUCAUGAUCUUCUGUCGGGCGAUUGCCAUGGCUACGGUUGCCACCGCUCGUUGCUGCUGUGGUCUUUCCCGUCUCCUCCUCCGCCUGGUUGGGCUGGCUUCCUGGUUCUUGAAUUGUUUUCCUCUUCUUGGCGGGUGGCUCGGGAUCUUCGAGGCCGUUCUUGGCUUCAAGAUCUUCUGCCAGGCGAUUGCCAUGGCUAUGGUUGCCACCGCUCGUUGCUGUUGUGUUCUUUCCCGUCUCCUCCUCCACCAGGUUGGGCUGGCUGCCUGGUUCUUGAAAUAUUUUCCUCUUCUUCGGAGGUAGGUAGCGAUCUUGGGGGGUGUUCUUCGCUUCAAGAUCUUCUAUGAAACCCAUGUCGCCACGGAACAAAGAUUAGAUGGAGUUGAUGCUGCUUCUUGAUAUAGCCACGAUCUGGAAAGGAAGCAAGAGAGAUUGGGGAGAGGGUGUAAGCCCCGGUCCUUUAUAGGGGUUUUCCUUCCUAUUUCUAUAAUGAAUCGGAGAGCUCCAAAUCUGAAAGCGAAAAGGUUUCGGAUUAGACGCAUAACACAGGUGAAAGCGCUUAAAAUCUAGAUACUCCUCUUUUUAUGCGGACUCUCUUGUAUGCCGCAUGAGUACGUGGGGUGAGGAGCACAGAAAUUGUACGGAUCUUUUACAGUUGGCAUACGUGGCAGAUUUGGGUGGGAGAAGGAUUUGAACUUCAGAAUUUGCACACGAAAUUGUCCAACUUGCAAGCGUUGUUGCCUAGCUGGUGCUUCGCACCUUCAUUAAAUCAUGGACUAAAUCUGACUUGAUCUUUUUGAUUAUUUUCUUAAUGGUGACUGUAAUUGUACCUCCAAGGCUCGACACCUGUACCUGUCACCGGGAUUUUUUAGUUGUAACUGAAGAAAGGUUGGAAGCAGGACCACCUUAAUCCGGGGUGGGGAAAAGGCCUUGUUGUUACUGGGUAGUAGGCUCAACCCGAGUGGUUCCAUAAUCUUCCACACUGAGCUCACUGCUCAGUCACAAAUCCCUUCAACAUAUCUCAAUUGAAAUAAUUUGAUAUUCUAGAGGCACCUCAACAGGAUUUAAACCCAUACAUACACCUAUCGAAUAGAAAAGGACCAACAUUUCGGGCUAUGUUUCAGUUGGUUUCAGUGGGAGCUGGUAAUCAUUUGCUUCAAAAUAUUUGUCUGCAGGAAGUGGGAGCAUAGACAACAUCUUAACGCCAGAAAAGCUCAGCAGAUGCGGUAGUGUUGGCAGCAUCAGCUUCACCCUUGUAACACCUAACUCACAUGCCGUCAUUGAGAGUCCAAAUCAAAGCUUGGAAUCAACAAUUGCUUCACUAGAAGUGGAGAUUGCUGACUCACAGAUGAAGUUCCCUGCCCUCAUUUCAGAACUGAGCAGUUCCGAGCCUUCUGGAUAUGUUGCAGACAUGAAACAACUCAGUCAAAAGCUCGAAGGCAUCCAACUUUUGUUGACAAGAUUAACAACUCUGGUUUAGAUUGGUCUGCAAAUUGCUGGUGUACAGGAUCAGGAUAAAAUAGAUUUUGUGAACUUGGCACUUCUUUGUGUACAUAUAUACGUAUGUUGUUGAGUUUAUACAAGGCUGUAAUAAACAAUGGGUGACCUACCUUGGGAAAUUUUGUAUCUCCCAAACAUAUCAUCUUGUAUCAUUUUUAUCGAAUUUAAGAAAAAAAUGAAAAGGAAAAAGUAUUUUGUUAUUUUCAAUUAUGGUUUACAUCAUCAAAAGAAAUCUGAUAAUAUUUGCAGUUGCUCUGUAACGAUCUCCAAUUUCUUAAAAUUCUCAAAUUCUGCCCUGCCGUACUCCUUUUCUUCCUUUCUUCUCAU
rnacentral:lncRNA from 1 species